GACGAAGGGGGCUAGCGUUGUUCAGAAUUACUGGGCGUAAAGCGAGUGUAGGUGGUUGUCCAAGUUGGAUGUGAAAGCCUUGAGCUCAACUCAAGAAAUGCAUUCAGGACUGGGCGGCUAGAGGACCGGAGAGGAUAGUGGAAUUCCCAGUGUAGUGGUGAAAUACGUAGAGAUUGGGAAGAACACCAGUGGCGAAGGCGGCUAUCUGGACCGAGACUGACGCUGAGGCGCGAAAGCGUGGGGAGCAAACAGG
rnacentral:rRNA from 1 species